GUGGGGAAUAUUGGGCAAUGGGGGCAACCCUGACCCAGCGACGCCGCGUGGGUGAAGAAAUCCCUCGGGAUGUAAAGCCCUGUUGUAUGGGAAGAGCAGAAGACGGUACCAUACGAGGAAGCCCCGGCAAACUACGUGCCAGCAGCCGCGGUAAUACGUAGGGGGCAAGCGUUGUCCGGAAUUACUGGGCGUAAAGCGCACGCAGGCUGAAUUAUAAGUCGGUAGUCAAAUACGGAGGCUCAACUUCCGGAUAUCUAUCGAUACUGUAAAUCUAGAGUAUGUGAGAGGGAAGCGGAAUUCCCGGUGUAGCGGUGAAAUGCGUAGAUAUUAGGAGGAACACCAGUGGCGAAGGCGGCUUACUGGACUGCAACUGACGCUGAGGCGCGAAAGUGUGGGGAGCAAACAGGAUUAGAAACCCCGGUAGUCC
rnacentral:rRNA from 1 species